UACGGAGGGUGCAAGCGUUAUCCGGAUUUACUGGGUUUAAAGGGUGUGUAGGCGGGCUAUUAAGUCAGUGGUGAAAUCUCCGGGCUCAACCUGGAAACUGCCAUUGAUACUAUUAGUCUUGAACUUUGUUGAGGUAGGCGGAAUAAGUCAUGUAGCGGUGAAAUGCAUAGAUAUGACUUAGAACACCAAUUGCGAAGGCAGCUUGCUAAACAAAUAUUGACGCUGAGGCACGAAAGCGUGGGGAUCAAACAGG
rnacentral:rRNA from 1 species